rnacentral:rRNA from 1 species
AGGUAUUAAACCUUUAUAUCCUGGCGGCAUUUAUCUAAUUAGAGGAACCUGUUUAUAAAUCGACACUCCACGAUAAUUUUCACUUUUUUAAAAAUCUUAUAUACCUCCGUUUAGAAUAAAUUAUAAAAUUUUAUUCAUAAAAUUUUAUAGGAAAAUAGGUAAUGGUGUAGACUACAUCAAAGAUUAAAUGGGUUACUUAUAAAAUUUAUUUAAAGAUUUAACUAUAAAUUCUAAAAGAAUAGGGAUUUAAAAGUAAUUUAAAAAUAAUAACUUUAAAUAAAGCUAAACAUAAAUGUGU